GGGCCUCCCAGGCCCUAGCCAGCUAUGCCACCACCUUCAGCCUUUUAUUUUCUUUUUUUAUUUUUUUUUAAUUACUGAGGGAAAAUAUAAACAUAAGCAAAAAAAAAAAAAGCCUCCCCUGCAGGCGCGAGCGGGGGUGGCGAGGAGGCCGACGAAGGCGGUAAUGCAACCCUAAUGCAUAGAUAGCUGACAUCAACUUCCGUCAGGCAGCUCCUGGAGAUCGAACCUUUCGAUUGUAACUGGGACAAUUUGCAUAGUGAUUCCCUUUCAGAGCUUUCCCGGGUCCAUAACAAGCCCAGGCAGCUAUUCAAAUGCAAGUUGCAUCCCCAAAUGCGAGGCUGGCCUGACCAAAAAGAGCCAGUCGGCGCCCGGAAGAGGCGAGACUCGCGCUUGGGUUCUCAAUCCUUCUCUUUUCUCCUUUCUUUUUCCCUUUCUCCUCUCCGGUUCCUGAUUUAGCUGGGAGCUGUUUAUUUAUGGCUGCAAAUGUGUGUGUUCAAGAGAGAGAGGGAAUUGAUCUUUGCCUGGACUUAAAGAUGGAGCCGAAGAAGCUGGAGGGAAUUUGGGCUUGUGCGUCUGGCCCAGACCCUGUGCGCCGAGCCCGAGGUCUAUCCUCCCCGCACCUCUCACCUCGCGACCUUGCAGGAAUCCGCGGGCCCGGAUGCUGCCCAGCUGACCCUCCUGCCCCGGGCCUGGCUGCAGAGAAAGUCUUCGGGCAGGAGGCCAUCCUGUUCCUGUCUUUAAAAUGAGCACAAUAAAAGGGGGCAAAUCCUCGAACGCGAACCUGAUCUCAUGUCACAGAAGCAACUUGCCAUGAAAUCCGCUAAUGCGCUGCGACUCGCCCACCAGGGCAGCGUGCGGCGGCCGAACUGCACCUGCGUUUGUGAGCCUUGUAGAAAUGGAGCCCACCGGAUUCCCUCACCCGGAGAAAUGCCCAAACUGAAACUUGACUACACUUCCCUGGGCUGGUUCACGGUUUCAUAAUCUCCCAGGUUUGCUGGCUGUGUCACCAAAUCCAAGCCAAACCUGCUAUAAACAUGAUCACAGGCCACUGACCUCGCAGCACUGACCGAUAACUCGGUGGCAAAAUCAGCUCCUCUGGUCAGAGGUUAUUAAAGCAGCGGCUGAAUUCGUGUUUGUUUUUUUGAAGUGGUCAGAAAAACGUAGUCUUCUUAAACCUACAAAAACAGUCAAACACAUUUGCAAAUGUGCUUUACUUGUAUUGGUUCGAGUGCUGGAAGCUGUCUGGCGGUGAGCUUUUUCGUUGCGUGUGGUUUAUGCAGAGCACCCGGGAUGUUUUUCUCGUCUUUUACGUCUUGGUAUCUUUUAAAAAUGUAGAAUGUGUCUCUGAUUGUUUCACAGUAUGUUCCUUAACAACCAGAUAUGUAAGAAAACGUUUGGGAUUGAGUGGUGAGAAAAGCAGACUGGAAAGUACAAAUAAACCCAAUCCAAAUGGAAAACAAAUUAAACAGAUGAAAUGAUUAUGAAAGAAGAUGGGGGAAUUAACUUGUCUGGAAAAAAUCGAGUUUAGGGUCUGAACUUUACAGAUUAAAUGGCAACACAGAACAAAUCCAAAGGAAUUAAAUCUAUUCUUUUGCCCUCCUAGGCAUCUGGGUCAGAUGCACAUUUUGAGGCAUUUCAACAGACAGAUCAGCUCUGGGACACUUGCACACUUUUUUGGUAAACUGCAACCUAUUACGUGACCUUUAAUCCUGGUGGAAAACAAUUUAAAAUGUAUUCCUGGCUUUAGGAAACAAAAGAAAAAUUUUAAACCCUGGCAGUUAAAUUAUUACUGGUCUCUACAGGGUUAAUUUAAUGUAAAUAAUCUACUCUCCUGAGGGAAAAGGUGGAGGCCUGGCAUUCUGGAAGGGCCAGUCAGGUGGUGACAAAACUGUGUGCCUUGGGGUUUUGAGGGGUGUGUUGGGUGGCUCUGAACCUGGCUUUGGGUUUGUUACAUCUCUCGCUCUCUUAAAACAGUAACUCAAGAUGUAAGUAAAAGUGUUUUCAUUUUUUAUUGAUCCUGCUAACAUCUUUCAUUAUCCAGCAUGUAGCCACAGCAAAUUAUUGCUCAUUUGAUACUGAGAAUUCUAUUGACCAUCGCUUUCGUUGGAGAGAGAAUUCUAACUACUCGGC
rnacentral:lncRNA from 1 species